AACGCGAAGAACCUUACCAAAUCUUGACAUCCUUUGAAAACUCUAGAGAUAGAGCCUUCCCCUUCGGGGGACAAAGUGACAGGUGGUGCAUGGUUGUCGUCAGCUCGUGUCGUGAGAUGUUGGGUUAAGUCCCGCAACGAGCGCAACCCCUAUUAUUAGUUGCCAGCAUUCAGUUGGGCACUCUAGUGAGACUGCCGGUGAUAAACCGGAGGAAGGUGGGGAUGACGUCAAAUCAUCAUGCCCCUUAUGACCUGGGCUACACACGUGCUACAAUGGAUGGUACAACGAGUCGCAAGGUCGCGAGGCCAAGCUAAUCUCUUAAAGCCAUUCUCAGUUCGGAUUGUAGGCUGCAACUCGCCUACAUGAAGCCGGAAUCGCUAGUAAUCGCGGAUCAGCACGCCGCGGUGAAUACGUUCCCGGGUCUUGUACACACCG
rnacentral:rRNA from 1 species